UACGUAGGUGGCAAGCGUUGUCCGGAAUUAUUGGGCGUAAAGAGCUCGUAGGCGGUUUGUCGCGUCUGCUGUGAAAAUCCAGGGCUUAACCCUGGACCUGCAGUGGGUACGGGCAGACUAGAGUGCGGUAGGGGAGAUCGGAAUUCCUGGUGUAGCGGUGAAAUGCGCAGAUAUCAGGAGGAACACCGGUGGCGAAGGCGGAUCUCUGGGCCGUAACUGACGCUGAGGAGCGAAAGCAUGGGGAGCGAACAGG
rnacentral:rRNA from 1 species